AACGAACGCUGGCGGCAGGCUUAACACAUGCAAGUCGAGCGCCCCGCAAGGGGAGCGGCAGACGGGUGAGUAACGCGUGGGAAUCUACCCAUCUCUACGGAACAACUCCGGGAAACUGGAGCUAAUACCGUGUACGUCCUUCGGGAGAAAGAUUUAUCGGAGAUGGAUGAGCCCGCGUUGGAUUAGCUAGUUGGUGGGGUAAUGGCCUACCAAGGCGACGAUCCAUAGCUGGUCUGAGAGGAUGAUCAGCCACACUGGGACUGAGACACGGCCCAGACUCCUACGGGAGGCAGCAGUGGGGAAUAUUGGACAAUGGGCGAAAGCCUGAUCCAGCCAUGCCGCGUGAGUGAUGAAGGCCCUAGGGUUGUAAAGCUCUUUCAACGGUGAAGAUAAUGACGGUAACCGUAGAAGAAGCCCCGGCUAACUUCGUGCCAGCAGCCGCCGUAACAC
rnacentral:rRNA from 1 species